rnacentral:rRNA from 1 species
GACGAACGCUGGCGGCGUGCCUAAUACAUGCAAGUAGGACGCAGUUGUGAACGGGUGAGUAACGCGUAGGUAACUGCCUAUUAGAGGGGGAUAACUAUUGGAAACGAUAGCUAAUACCGCAUACUAGUAGAUGGACCUUCGUUGUAUUAGCUAGUAGGUAGGGUAAUGGCCUCCCUAGGCGACGGUACAUAGCCGACCCGGGAGGGUGGUCGGCCAAAAUGGGAAUGGUGAACGGCCCAGACUCCUGCGGGAGGCAGCAGUAGGGGAUCUUCGGAAAUGGGGGGAAACCUGACCGAGCAACGGCGCGUGAGUGAAGAAGGUUUUGGGAUCGUAAAGCUCUGUUGUUAAGGAAGCGGUACUUAAACAGAAAGGGACGGCUAACUACGUGCCAGCAGCCGCGGUAAUUC